AAAAAAAAAAAAAAAAAAAAAAGACAGAUGAUACUCUGGUGGGGCAACUGUAACGCCAACAAGUAGCAGGCUUGCUGGGUGUUUCUUCUUCUUCUUCUUCACUUGUGAACUUUCCCUUUACCAUUACUUUCUCCUUCAUGUAAUUAUUGUGUGAUCUUGAAUACCAAACAACACCACUACACAUGCACACAACAAACUUAUACACAAAACAAUGAAUAAGAACAUUGUUUCAUUCUUCCAUUUAUUCUGAUUAU
rnacentral:ribozyme from 1 species